rnacentral:tRNA from 6 species
GCCCAGGUGGCGGAAUGGUAUACGCACAACACUUAAAAUGUUGCGAGAUUUUUCUCAUGCGGGUUCGACUCCCGCCCUGGGCA